rnacentral:lncRNA from 1 species
GCUCUGAACAUUCAGGAGGGUAAAACGGCCACCCUGACCUGCAACUAUACAAACUAUUCUCCAGCAUACUUACAGUGGUACCGACAAGAUCCAGGAAGAGGCCCUGUUUUCUUGCUACUCAUACGUGAAAAUGAGAAAGAAAAAAGGAAAGAAAGACUGAAGGUCACCUUUGAUACCACCCUUAAACAGAGUUUGUUUCAUAUCACAGCCUCCCAGCCUGCAGACUCAGCUACCUACCUCUGUGCUUGGUGUACAACUUCAACAAAUUUUACUUUGGAUCUGGGACCAAACUCAAUGUAAAACCAAGUAAGUUA